CCGGGUAUAGUUGAUUCUAAUAUUCUGAUCUCAGCUCGAAUAUUCCUAAGGGUCCGUUCUAUUUCAGGGUCAAAAGGUAAUAGUUUAGGAGAUCUGGAACGACACCCUAGCAUGCACCAAUACUUUUCUGAUCAAUCAAGUGCAGUCAAGCAUGCAUUAAAAGAAAAACACAUCAAAUCCUUGUAUUUGCCCUAAAAUCACUAGACAGCUCCUAACUGAUUUGAAGAGGGCACCUAAGCCUCCAAUCCGGUCUAAUGAACUGAGUUGACCAGGUAAGCUCCCAGGUAAGUGGGGGGGUCACGAUGCGUUGCAAAGGUCUCACUUAAAAAUCACUUGCCUCGAACAGAUGAACUGUCUCCCUUGGGACAAAGCUUGCCUAGACAUCAACUGAGCCACAGAGCGA
rnacentral:lncRNA from 1 species